rnacentral:rRNA from 1 species
AUAUCAGUAAGCGGAGGAAAAGAAACUAACAAGGAUUCCCCUAGUAACGGCGAGUGAAGCGGGAAUAGCUCAAAUUUAAAAUCUGGACGGUUUCCGUCCCGAAUUGUAGUCUAAAGAAGGUUAUCUAGGCGGCGUGCAAGACCAAGUCCCUUGGAAUAGGGCGCCUAAGAGGGUGAGAGCCCCGUUUAGUCUUGUAACAAUGCCAGAAAGAGAGCCUUUCUAAGAGUCGAGUUGUUUGGGAAUGCAGCUCAAAGUGGGUGGUAAAUCUCAUCUAAGGCUAAAUAUUGGCAAGAGACCGAUAGCGAACAAGUACCGUGAGGGAAAGAUGAAAAGCACCUUGGAAAGGGAGUUAAAUAGUGCGUGAAAUUGUUAAAAGGGAAACGAUUGAGACCAGUAUUGGUCAUGAGUAGUAAUGUUGAUCUCUCGGGAUCGGCAGAGCCUCAUGGCCGAGUCAAUGUCUGUUAAGGGCGCUCGAUAAUGUCUAGAGGAAGAUGGUGUUGCUCUUCGGAGUAGCUCUUUAUAGACUCUAUUCGAUAGAGUGGUCUUGACAGAUUAACGGCCGACUAACGCUAGACUGAGCCGACUGAUAAAGGACUUGAACUGCACGCAGAUCAAAGUCUGUAGUUAGCCGAGGAGAUCUAGUAUGUCGGUCUCUGUUGACGAAAUGGUCUUAAACGA